UACAGAGGGUGCAAGCGUUAAUCGGAAUUACUGGGCGUAAAGCGCGCGUAGGUGGUUUCGUUAAGUUGGAUGUGAAAUCCCCGGGCUCAACCUGGGAACUGCAUUCAAACUGUCGAGCUAGAGUAUGGUAGAGGGUGGUGGAAUUUCCUGUGUAGCGGUGAAAUGCGUAGAUAUAGGAAGGAACACCAGUGGCGAAGGCGACCACCUGGACUGAUACUGACACUGAGGUGCGAAAGCGUGGGGAGCAAACAGG
rnacentral:rRNA from 1 species